AUUCUACUCUAUUUGAAACCAAUACUGGGCCUUCUUUAAAAAUUUCCAGCAUCCCAACACUCGUCAUCUAACUCAAAAAUUCCCCAAAAACCCAGCCCACACAAUUCCAAUACAUUAGAAACAAUACCCAGACACGUACACGACUCCACCCCAAACAAACACUCGUUCUCUUCUUCUUCCCGGGAGUAGAAACCCAUAAAACUCAAAACUCCAGCAAAUCGAGCCCAGCGACCCGAGUCAAGAAAAUUAAUCAAGUCACAUCUCUCUCCUCUCGACGUGUCCACCUCGAUACGAAGAACGUUGGGAAAUCGUCCUUCGUCGUCCAACAUGUCCUCAUCUCCUUGCGUCCUUGUCCUUUGAUCCGAAAUCAAGCGCCCAUAUCAUUUUCAGUUGGUAAUGGUACAAAUUCCAGCUGGUUGAACCUUCAUUUGAAAUGAAUUUGAAUUUCGAAUUGGGAAUCCACCUAUUUCUGUCUGUUUUUUCCCCUAAAAUCUGAACCCUAGAAGUUUGCCUAUAAAUACUCUCUUCUUCUUCAAUGUGAGGGAUUGACAAAUCAGAAAGGGAGAAAGAGAAAAACACAAGAAAAUACUUACAUGAUAUAUAGGAAAUACACUUGAAAUAGAGAGAGAAUUUUAAGUUUCCAUCCUUCUAGGUUGAUCAUCGUUGUUUUAAAGUUAGUUCGAAUAUUGUUGCUGCCUAGGCUUCUCCUUUGUUGUCCGGUUCGAGUUUUGCUGGUGAAAUCUCGUUCCCCUCCUUGCUCGUUCCAUCAUAGUUCGCAACCUCCGAAAAGCCUCACCCAUGUUGGAGAAGGUGAAGCAGAAAUAUGGGCUUAGAAUAAAAAUUACAGGUCUCGAGAAUUGAAAACGCGCUGAUAUAUAGUGUGAUACAACCUAUAUGCAACAGCAGUAUACACUGUAUACAAACACGAAAAUGUGCCAAAAGCCCUCUGCAAAUUCCAGUUCUGUGUUGUAUUAUGAUUGGGCCAAAUACCCACUUAUUUUUAGUAUUGUUUGAUAUAUUUUAGGAUAGAUGAAAUUGGGUUGAAGAUGAAAUUAGGCUCAAGGUGAAAUUAGGCUUAAGUACUGGUUCAGGUUGACAAAAAAUCAGACUUGGGCCCAAAACACACACGCACUCUCUAUUUUAUUUGUUCUAUUCGUUCAAUUGUCUUUAUUUUCUUAUGUGCUAGUCAAUUUUAAAGUUUUCCUUA